rnacentral:rRNA from 1 species
ACCUGCCCACUGAAAUAUUUUAAAUGGCCGCAGUAAUUUGACUGUGCAAAGGUAGCAUAAUCAUUAGUUUUUUAAUUAAAAGCUUGUAUGAAGGGUUGGACGAGAUAAAAUCUGUCUUUAUUUAAAUAAUAUUAGAAUUUAAUUUUUAAGUUAAAAAGCUUAAAUAUAUAUAAAAGACGAGAAGACCCUAUAGAUCUUUAUAUUAUUAUAAUAUAAUUUUAAUUAAGAAAUAUUUAAUUUUUUUAUUUUAUAUAAUAUUUUAUUGGGGUAAUAAAAAGAUUUAAUUAAUUCUUUUAAUAUUUUACAUUAAUAAGUGAAUUUAUGAUCCAUAAUUUUUGAUUAUAAGAUUAAGUUACCUUAGGGAUAACAGCGUAAUUUUUUUAAAGAGUUCAUAUCGAUAAAAAAGUUUGCGACCUCGAUGUUGGAUUAAAAAUUGUUUUAGGCGUAGAAGUUUAAAAAUUUGGUCUGUUCGACCAUUAAAUUUUU